UCGUGCUCCAAAUCUUAAUGACGUUCGGGCAGAAAUUCCGAUGUCGUUCAAAGACAAUGCAAAGUAACUUGAGCUUGAGUAGAAACAAGAGCUCAAAAGAGGCGAGGGGAAAGCAGCCUUUGCCAUCUGGAGCCCAUUUCAAGCCAGUCUGCUGAGAGUGAUUGUAUCUGAGGCUGACAAUAUUGAGCUGAGACGCAGGACUCUUGAGCAGCACAAUGACAGCACUCCUGAAGCUUUUUACCGACAUGUCAUCAGGAGUCCAACAACUCAUCUCGCCUUGCUCCUCAGACACUGCGUCUCACUGGUGCUCCCAUUACAAUGCCCAGGGUGCAUCACCGCUCCAUCUCCCAGUAAUGGAUUUCCAAUGCUUCGACCAUCUUACCUGUCACGUGGUCGUGUCUCCUCCCUGGGUAGCAUCACUCUGCUUUUCUGUGUCUCAAAACAGUGAGCGUGGAUCCAAAGCCUAUUAGAAUCCACAGCACGUCCAGGAAGCAAGCAGGGCCAGCGGGAGAGAAACUACAGAAAUUAAUGAACAUGCUUAACCUGCAGUGGCCCUCGUCCAUGUUUUCUACGCCUGGUUGUCUCUGCUGUGAAGCUACUGUUCACGCAAUGUUCACAACAUGCUGCCUUCCUUUUAAGACUAAACGCAUUCCAAGUAGCAAGUACAGAUGGUGUUUUUUACAUGGCACUUUGCAGGAAACUCAUCAGUGGUCUGUGAGUUGUGUGCUGUCUGCUUCAGGCACUUUGCACAUGGAACAUUCUGUAUCUGCCAUGUUUGCAUGUUAAAGCACUUAAUUAUCACUUAACCCUCUAAACCCCACAAGAGAAUUCAUGCUAUCUUUGAUAAAUUGCCAAAAUUACACCAUUUAUCAGAGCCAGAAACUAUAAAGAAUCAUGAGAUUUUCAACGUUCUGAGUGUCCUUUCUAAUAAAUUGUAUUUGUCAUGCAGUUCGGUCAGAAAGACUAUCCACAUUUAAGUUUAAAAUUGUGAUAUUAAACUUAGAACUUUAUUCUACAUGUCUAAAACUUCCCAACAAAUAAAUCAUAACAAUACAAAUUCUGCAGUCCUCAGUGCAACUGAGAAGCCACGGCUUUGACCAAUACUAAUGCGACCAAAAAUUCUGUGUAUAUCCGGCUGAACUGCAGGCUGUGUUUACACAUAGCAGAGAGAACAAAUCAGAGACUGAGAGGAAAAUAAAACAUACUGGAUCAAUAAAAUAAAUGCAGCAUGAUGCAAAAACAGUACACAGAGGAGCAAGUUGUCAGCAGGUUCCUGGAAGAUACAUUCAGCAUGGUGAAAUGUGUGUAGAGUUGAUGUGCAGAGUAGAGUAAAACGUUUGUA